GACGUAGGGGGCCAGCGUUGCUCGGAAUCACUGGGCGUAAAGGGUGCGUAGGCGGGUCUUUAAGUCAGGGGUGAAAUCCUGGAGCUCAACUCCAGAACUGCCUUUGAUACUGAGGAUCUUGAGUUCGGGAGAGGUGAGUGGAACUGCGAGUGUAGAGGUGAAAUUCGUAGAUAUUCGCAAGAACACCAGUGGCGAAGGCGGCUCACUGGCCCGAUACUGACGCUGAGGUGCGAAAGCGUGGGGAGCAAACAGG
rnacentral:rRNA from 1 species